AUUUCUUCGCCUCCACUCUUUGGUUCUCUCCACCCCGCUUCAGGCCCCCUCCCCCCAAGACACACGGCACCCUCGGUGCCAGGGAAGGUGCCUUGCGGAGAAAGAAAAGACGCCAGAAGAACGGGGGAAGAGCGCUUGGUGCCCACACUGUUGGCCUCGGGGUAAGUGCGGACGACCGCCGCGGACCCCCUGGAGUGGGGAGUGGGUUAGGGGCCUGGGGGUCGGGGCGGAUCCGGAUGCCGCUCCCUGCCCUCCCCCCAGCCCGAGAUCUGCGGCACGAGGCGCGGGCUCUGAAGCCCCCAGCUGGGCCCCAGCAGCAAUAGGUGGGCGGAGCGCAGCGCAACGCGGGGCGGCGGGAAAGGGGUGGGGUGCGCAGUUUGGCUUCUAUAGGACCCAGGAACAGUGGCAGAACCUGCGAGCUAGGUGGGUGACUCUCCCGCGUGGAGCAACCGACCCGAGGACCACCACUCCAGUGGAGCGUGGAGGACCUUGGAGUCAGGCGCUCUGUCCAUCGCCGCCUUCAGCAGAGCAAGACGGUGGAGCCGCGGGCGCACCGGCGACCCUGCGCGCAGGUCGCGCCUCCUAAACAACUCACACCCAGCGACCAUCAGGACGCCUCCUGCUCCCGGCCCGCGGGACCGAGGGGACCGUGGGAGGACAGGCUGGUGGCAGGACCGGCCCGGCGUGUGCGGGAAGGCUGGAGUUGGUCGAGUUAUUGUGUGCUGGCGCUGUUCCAUAAACCAAAACUGGCUUUCGGGGCAUUAAAGAAAAUUACGGGGCUGAAGAUCUGAAAUGCAUGGGGUAAAACGGACCUUUCAGCAUUCAUCGCGUUCAAAUCAGGCAUAAGAUGAAAAUAUCCCCAUCAAAGUGUUUAGAUUGGACAAAGCUCUGUUUCAGGUGGCAGUGUAGAAGCCAAAUCGGGAGCUUCUAGCAGUGGUUUAAAAAAAAAAUAAGAGUUAAAUGUACGUACAUGAGUAAGCAAGCACAGGAAUCUGAAAAACCACAGGUCAAGCUGUAGAACAUUUCUGAUAUGCCAGAAGAUUUCUUCCUGCCCUUUCUGUUCAUCAUUCAUCUGCCUCCAAUAUGAAGGAAAUCUCUGCCGUCUUUUGGGUUCUUUCUGCCUGAGCUUGCAGCCUACCACACAGAGGUCAGUCUUUUGACACAUGGACAGCUUGAGAUGGAGCUUGUCUUCGGGCAGGAGGCAGUUCUCCAAGAUGCUGAACAUACCCAAGCACAGCCUAUCUCCAUGAUUACCUCUUGCCACCCAGAGGCUGUACUCCCUUAUCCUCGGGCACCACCCAUUGUUAAGUGGGGGAGCAGUUGCCAGCCCUAGAGCUCCCGGGGUGUGUGGUAUGUGUGUGUGCGUGUGUGUGUGUAGUACUGAGGAUUGAGCCCAAGGCCUCAUAUGUUAGGCAAGUACUGUAACACAGAGGAACAUCCCUAGUCCUUUUUAAAAAUUUUGUUUUAAGAUGGCAUUUCCUGAAACUGAUCAGUGUGUCAUCAAAAUUGUAAUUUUCCUGCUUCAGCCUUCCAAAUAGCUGGGAUACAGACAUGUCAUGUCCCACCGUGCCCACCUGCCAGGAUUACUUUUUAAAAGUCUCCUUUUUAGUUACUGGGGAAAACAUAUGGACACAAUUUGUGUUUUUGUUUGUUUGUUUUUUGCUUUUUUUCCAGUACCAAGA